AGAACCUCGAGGAAGGGUCAAGUGAAGACAUUGGAUAAGCUCCAGACAGAAUUAGUCCAUCCAGAUCAUCAGAAUGGCAAAGGCUCCCUGUCUUCAUUCACUCAUUGCAGCUGGUUUGAAACUAGGCCAGCAAUAAUGGCACAACACUCACAGUUCUAAGUUCAAGCACUGAGGU